UAGGGAAUUUUCGUCAAUGGGCGCAAGCCUGAACGAGCAAUGCCGCGUGAGUGAAGAAGGUCUUCGGAUUGUAAAGCUCUGUUGCCGGGGAAAAAGAGGGAAUGCAGGAAAUGGCAUUUCAUGGAUGGUACCCGGCCAGAAAGCCACGGCUAACUACGUGCCAGCAGCCGCGGUAAUACGUAGGUGGCGAGCGUUAUCCGGAAUGAUUGGGCGUAAAGGGUGCGCAGGCGGUCUGUUAAGUCUGAAGGCAAAGGGAUGAGCUCAACUCAUUCAUGAUUCAGAAACUGGCAGACUUGAGGACAGGAGAGGGCGGUGGAACUCCAUGUGUAGCGGUAAAAUGCGCAGAGAUAUGGAAGAACACCAGUGGCGAAGGCGGCCGCCUGGCCUGUGACUGACGCUG
rnacentral:rRNA from 1 species